GCCUUCGGCAGCUCCUGCAGGGGUCGUGUUACCGCGAAAUAUGCGAUCGGACAUCGAACCCUGUAGGGGCUGCCGCAGGC
rnacentral:misc_RNA from 1 species